rnacentral:SRP_RNA from 1 species
GCCGGGUGCGGUGGCGCGCGCCUGUAAUCCAAGCUCCCGGGAGGCUGAGGCUGGAGGAUCGUUUGAGCUCAGGAUCUCUGAGCUGCAGCGGACUAUGUCGAUCGGGUGUCCGCACUAAGUUCGGUAUCGAUAUGGUGCUCCUGGGGGAGCCCGGGACCACCAGGUCGUCUAAGGAGGGGUGCACCGGCCCAGGUCGGAGACGGAGCAGGUCAAAGCCCCCGUGCCGCUCAGUAGUGGGAUCGCGCCUGUGAAUAGACGCUGUAGUGCAGCCCGAGUAACACAGCGGGACCCAGUCUUUA